AUGUAAAUAUCUACAUCAUAGAGUUAAUGCAUCGGAUCCCAUUAGAACUCCACAGUUAAGCACACUCAGGCUAGUGUAGUACUGGGAUUGGUGAUUGCCCAAGAAGUCCUAGUGUUUUACAUG
rnacentral:rRNA from 1 species